rnacentral:lncRNA from 10 species
GGCCCCACUCUGUGGGAGACAUACACGUCCCUCACUGUGGACAUCAGAUCUGGCUAUGCGCUUUGCUUCGGCUCAUCCAGAGUGAAGAAAUCACAGAAGCUCACAGUUACCGGCACGUGGUUCAGCCAUUGCUCCUUUGCUUUUGCUACAAGAAUGGCAUGUCCUGGAUGAGGAGUACAGAUGAAGAAUGAGCUCUGUGGGUUUAGGCCACCUAGACAGGAGGGAGGAACUCAGGACACCAAAUCCAGGUCCUCUGCCACCUUCCCCUGCACCCUAGGUUAUAUGCAGUGGCUGAGGGUGGGGAAACUGACUAUAGAGACCCUCCAUCGGGCGCUCAGCAUGGAUCUUCCUCAGCUGUUGUUAUUUCAGAUCCCUGACUUCAGCACCAGCUCCUCUUUAUCCGGAGUUCCAGCAGGAUCUGAGGGCUGAGAGAGCUGAUACCAGUGGGGAAGCCAGGAGGAAUGACAAACUUGAAGUCAUGGAAUUGGAUUGCAGCCCUGAUUUACCACCAACUACACAUGACCUUGAGAAAUCUCUUAACAUCUCUGAGCCUCUGGUGAGAAGAAAGCUGGCAGGCCAAGCUGGGAAGCCAAGAAAAGGCUGUUUCUAGUUCCAGUGAAUUUCAAUCCCUGUGCAUCCUGUGGACUGAGGCUCCAAUGCUUCCAAAACUCAAAGCACCUGCCAAAGCCAGCAGUUAUAAUUUUUGCAAAGGCGGUUUCAUCCUUGCCAAGACUUCACUUGAAAAUGAGUCUAUCUCCCCCAUGACUGAUGAAUUCAUGGCACUUUUGUUGGGCUUUCUCCUCAAUGAGAUGAUAAGAAAGUUUGAGGACUACGGAAAGGACAAAAGCAUCUGUGGUACCACCAACCUGAUUCCUCCUUGUCCUUGUCGUGUUUGGUCUCAGUCAUUGUUCACAACAGGCAGCCCAGGGCUCUCGGCUCCAAGCGUCUGCCUGUGCAUUAGCCAUUGCUGCCCACCCCCAGGCCCUCCACUGUAGUACCCAAACCCCAAAACUGCCUACACGGCAAGGGCAGAGCCAGGCUGGGGAGAUGGAAUGCUACUCCGGGUCUGAGUGUGUCUGAAAAGACUGCAGGGCUUAUUCACCAGAAGCAUCAGAAGUAAAAGAAGUACUGAAUGGAAAGGAGCUGACUACUGGGAGAGGCCCAGGCCUGGCCGGAAGGACCAGCGAUGAGGGGUGGAUUGCCCCAGGACUCCAAAGUUGCACAUAGGUGGCAGCCCACCUUGGACGGUCCUCAGAGUUGGUACAGGAAGCAGAGACCCAAACCCUACCUGUAGGCCUGCAGUUCUCCUAUUUCCUCUGGCCAGAUCUGCAUCUCAUUUCUCAGGUCUCCUAUCUUUUUUCAUUACGGGCCAGGUCAUGGCAAUUUCCAGAAUUUAGUCCUCCCUCUGAUACUUCGGUUGUGGUUGCCGAUGGCAUGCCCAGGUGGGAGAGGGAGGCCAGGUGGCAGGUGCUGGUGCUGUUAGCAGUGCUGACCUGCCGUCUUGCUCCAGGGCUGCUGGAGGCCUGGCAGAGAUGCUCAGGAAACUCUUGACUCAGCUCAUGUGUGUGCCGUGGUCCUACUUGGGGAUGAACGCAAGGGAGCCUGGACAAAUUCCCAUUGAUGUAGUUGCUCACUGCAUAUGGCAUGUGUGUCUAGGAACACACGCGCACACACACACACACACACACACACACACACUUUCUUUUGUAAAAGAAUAAUACAAAGCUACAUGGCUAUAUGUAUAUGCAUAUAUAUAGACAUAGAUAUCAUAUGUUUAUAAUGCUUUAUAGUUUACAAGCAGUAGGAAUUGUGUGGGCACAGUGUCUUCUCUCUUCCUGCAACCCGGAUACAUUUUGCUUAGUUUGAGAUUAAUAAAUAGGAAGAGAGAGGCAGACAGAUGAUGCUUUCUAGUGAAAUGAGCAGAGUUAGAAGUAAAAUAGCCACGUGACUUUGGGCAAGUUAUUCAAGGCUGCAGCUUUCUUCUCUAUAAGAUGGGAUAAUAUAUUAUCUACUUGAGCAUACCUAGUGCCCAGAUCUUGGUUUCUAGUACUGUUCUCCAAUAAAAGGAACUAGGAUCCUUGGGAGAAAUAGCUGAUUCUAGGGCUGGGGCAGAAUGGAAGAUAAGCCUGGAAAGCUAAAAAUAAAUAAAUAAAUAAAUAAAAAAGCAAGUUGGUAUCAUAGAAGUGAAGAGUAAAAAAGUGGUUACUAGAGGCUGGUAAGGGUAAGGGGGAGGAGGAGAGACACAGAGGUUGGUUAAAGGACACAAAAUUACCCUAGAUAGGACUAAGUUUUAAUGUCCUAUAGCACUAGAGUUACUAUAAUAAAAAUAAUUUAUUAUAUAUUUUCAAAUAGCUAGAAGAGAGGACUUUGAAUGUUCCCAACACACAAAGCAAUGAUAAGUGUUUGAGGUGAUGGAUUUGCUAAUUACUCUGAUUUGAUCAUUAUACAUUUACACAUGUACUGAAAUAUCACACUGCACCCCAUACAUAUGUAUAAUUAUGUGUCAAUUAAAAAUAAUAGACAAAGAAAUAAAUCAAUCAAAGAUGAGCCUGGUGCAUCUUGGAGUAUCAGAAAGUAAGAAGGUACUAAAAAACAAAACAAAACAUCUAACCCCCAAUAAAGGUGGCGAUGGUGAUGGUGGCGGUAGGUGGGGGGCAUGAAUCUGCCAAAGGGACACAGGGGAGAGCUGAAAGGGCCAAAGUUGGAACAAUUUAAUCCUUUUCCCAUUUAGGAAAAAAAAGUGCAGCUCGCUGCCAGCGCUCAUUUAAUUUUAAAUAAACAUGCUCUUUGAGGCUAAAGCAAAUCUGACUGAUGUUCAAUAUGAAAAUAAAACAGAAAAACUGUUCUUGGAGUUAUUUCUAAACAGAACUAACAUCAGAAUUAUCUGAAUCAUCAGAAUUGUCUAUUUCAGAAAAAUCGGAUUCAUCAAAUGAAUCUUCGGCCAACAACUGUUCGAGAACUAUGUUAAUUAACCUCACAUGUAGGAAUCCUGUAUUUCCUAGGAUUUGACAUUUUCAGUGAUUGAGAAGUACUAUAUUUUGUAAAUGGAAAAACCACUACUAAAAACAGAAUGGUAUCAGUAGAACGAUGUCUUUUCUUUCCCAAUUCCAUAUACUAGAGGGAUCCGAAAAUAAUAAUAAAAGUGAGAUAUUUCGUGGCAAAGUUAUCUCGAGGUAAACGCUGCAGCUGCAAGCACCACCAGCGAAUAUUCCCGAGGCAAACGGGGAAAGGGUUAAG